CUACAGUACUUACUACAUACCUGAGCACUGAACAUCAAAUGCCAUAUUACACUGCUUCACACAGGGAAUCUGAUUCCUUACAGAUCACAUCCACCUUUUCUCAUGCACCAGUGAAAUCUGCCUGACGCUUAAGCAUCAACUUGUAAGAUAACAGAAAACAAAGAUGGAAAAUAAAGAAUACAAUUUCUACUUUCCUAUGACACAGUUACACCAAGUCCAGUUUUCUAUGUGUAAAAAAUACAUAGGAAAGUGCUACAUACAUUCUUCAAAUGCAGAAACACAGCUAAGUGGGACACGUCAGACUUACCCCUAAUCUGUG
rnacentral:lncRNA from 1 species